GGACCCCGGAGGGUCCGAACUGUCUCAGCGGAGAAAGGGGACAUAGUGUGCUGGCGGGCGCUGGCUGUUGGCGUUAGAGCUCCGGCUGUGGCUCAGUCUGGGGCGCGGUUCUUGCCAACACACCAUGUCCAGAGACAGCUGACAAAAAAACUAAAUUGAAACCAGCUCUGGAUGGGAUAACAACACAGGGUCAUACUUACUUUACGGCAGGCACGUUAUUCGCCUUCUUACUCGCACUUACCGCUAUGGAUUCGCUCUUCAGGGGGCACUGAGACAUCCUACAGUGCCCUGGACGGCCCACCCCAACCAUGGUAUCCGUUGUCCAACAGUUUUGGAUACCCCAGAAUCGUCUCCCCGUUCCCCCUCUACAGCAUGGUGCACUACCCCUUCCUUACCUUAAUGAUCUACUCUUCCAUAGCGAAAUGAGAAUACUAAGCCAAGUGGAAUUUCAUUUCUACGUUAUAAAAGAAAAGUGCCUUUGUUGCGUCUGUCAGAUCGCCGGACUGGAAUGCUUCGACGACGGCUCCCCUGGAUAGCAAGACAAUUUGGUAGCGGAGGUGCCCUGGAUCUCCCUUUUUAUGUUCUUGCCAACCUGCAGGGACAACAUUAAACGACCAAAGGGUCUUUUAUUUAAAGUGUAUUCCUAGUGCCCUAGAAUGAGCUCACCCUACUUCCUAGGUUGUAUCGUCCGUUCAAUCACCGGACUGCAGAUAUGAAACCCAAUGUCUACCCUGUUUGCUGCCUAAGUUAUUCUGUUUUCUUUUUUUUUUAUUUCUUAUAUUUUUAUUCCAGGAUGUGUGUCAAGCUAAGUUUCUCUGUGUAUCGUUCUAAGUAUUGAACAUAUAAAAAGGAGCAUACAUCGGCCUACCUUGGCACCUACGGGCUGCUGGUGCAAAAUUCCCUCGGGGACACUGGAGCAGAUGGCGGCGGUGGAACCAAUGAUGAAGCUGGAGAUGCUGAUGAGAUGAUGAUGUUGUUGAGGAUGGAAAUGUUGACGUUGCCGUGGAUGACGAUGGUUAAAAUUGCAGUAGAGGUGGGUAUUUAUUAUUUGACAAAAAGUUUUUGUUGUUCUGUUUAGUCUUUGCUAUGUUUUAUUCGUGGCUCAAAUUAACGUUCUUUUUCAAAGCUUUUUAUAUUUCACAGGAUCUUUUUUCUUUAGCAUUAAUUAGCACUAAUAAGUUUAUUUAGCUUUAAGUUGAUCUAAAGUAACUUCAGCUUUUUUACUACAAAAGCUAGUCUUU